CCUACGGGGUGCAGCAGUGGGGAAUAUUGGACAAUGGGCGAAAGCCUGAUCCAGCAAUGCCGCGUGUGUGAAGAAGGCCUUCGGGUUGUAAAGCACUUUCAGUGGGGAAGAAAGCCUUGGGGCUAAUAUCCUCGCGGAAUGACAUCACCCACAGAAGAAGCACCGGCUAACUCCGUGCCAGCAGCCGCGGUAAUACGGAGGGUGCGAGCGUUAAUCGGAAUUACUGGGCGUAAAGCGCGCGUAGGCGGUCUGAUAAGCCGGUUGUGAAAGCCCCGGGCUCAACCUGGGAACGGCAUCCGGAACUGUCAGACUAGAGUGCAGGAGAGGAAGGUAGAAUUCCCUGUGUAGCGGUGAAAUGCGUAGAGAUCGGGAGGAAUACCAGUGGCGAAGGCGACCUUCUGGACUGACACUGACGCUGAGGUGCGAAAGCGUGGGUAGCAAACAGGAUUAGAUACCCGGGUAGUC
rnacentral:rRNA from 1 species